GGGGAUAAGCGGCGGAAACGCCGUCUAAUACCGCGUGACAACCCGAGGGGGCAUCCCCUUGGGUUCAAAGGAGAGAUCCGGUACCGGCUGGGCAUGCGGCGCAUUAGCUAGUUGGCGGGGCAACGGCCCACCAAGGCGACGAUGCGUAGGGGUUCUGAGAGGAAGGUCCCCCACACUGGAACUGAGACACGGUCCAGACUCCUACGGGAGGCAGCAGUGAGGAAUAUUGGUCAAUGGGCGCAAGCCUGAACCAGCCAAGUCGCGUGAGGGAAGACGGCCCUACGGGUUGUAAACCUCUUUUGCCGGGGAGCAAGCCUGAGCACGUGUGCCCAGGCGGAGAGUACCCGGAGAAAAAGCAUCGGCUAACUCCGUGCCAGCAGCCGCGGUAAUACGGAGGAUGCGAGCGUUAUCCGGAUUUAUUGGGUUUAAAGGGUGCGCAGGCGGGCUGUUAAGCCGGCGGUAAAAAUUCAGGGCUCAACCCUGUCGAGCCGUCGGAACUGGCAGUCUUGAGUGGGCGAGAAGUAUGCGGAAUGCGUGGUGUAGCGGUGAAAUGCAUAGAUAUCACGCAGAACGCCGAUUGCGAAGGCAGCAUACCGGCGCCCAACUGACGCUGAGGCACGAAAGCGUGGGGAUCGAACAGGAUUGGAUACCCUGGUAGUCCACGCAGUAAACG
rnacentral:rRNA from 1 species